rnacentral:rRNA from 1 species
CCUGAUGCAGCCAUGCCGCGUGUAUGAAGAAGGCCUUCGGGUUGUAAAGUAGUUGUGAGGAAGGCGUUGGAGUUAAUAGCUUCAGGUUUGACGUUAGCAACAGAAGAAGCACCGGCUAACUCCGUGCCAGCAGCCGCGGUAAUACGGAGGGUGCGAGCGUUAAUCGGAAUUACUGGGCGUAAAGCGCAUGCAGGUGGUUUGUUAAGCAAGAUGUGAAAGCCCGGGGCUCAACCUCGGAACAGCAUUUUGAACUGGCAGACUAGAGUACUGUAGAGGGGGGUAGAAUUUCAGGUGUAGCGGUGAAAUGCGUAGAGAUCUGAAGGAAUACCGGUGGCGAAGGCGGCCCCCUGGACAGAUACUGACACUCAGAUGCGAAAGCGUGGGGAGCAAACAGGAUUAGAUACCCUGGUAGUCCACGCCGUAAACGAUGUCUACUUGGGUUGUGGCCUUGAGCCGUGGCUUUCGGAGCUAACGCGUUAAGUAGACCGCCUGG